rnacentral:rRNA from 1 species
GAUGAACGCUGGCGGCGUGCCUAAUACAUGCAAGUCUAGCGAACGUACUAGAAGCUUGCUUCUCUGUUGUUAGCGGCGGACGGGUGAUUAACACGUGGAUAACCUACCUAUAAGACUGGGAUAACUUCGGGAAACCGGAGCUAAUACCGGAUAAUAUUUUGAUCCGCAUGGUUCAAAAGUGAAAGACGGUCUUGCUGUCACUUAUAGAUGGAUCCGCGCUGCAUUAGCUAGUUGGUAAGGUAACGGCUUACCAAGGCAACGAUGCCUAGCCGACCUGAGAGGGUGACAGGCCACCCUGGAACUGAGAAAACGUCCAGACUCCUACGGGAGGGAGCAGUAGGGAAUCUGCAGCAAUGGGCGAAAGCCUGACGGAGCAACGCCGCGUGAGUGAUGAAGGUCUUCGGAUCGUAAAACUCUGUUAUUAGGGAAGAACAUAUGUGUAAGUAACUGUGCACAUCUUGACGGUACCUAAUCAGAAAGCCACGGAUAACUACGUG